rnacentral:rRNA from 1 species
UACGUAGGGUCCGAGCGUUGUCCGGAAUUAUUGGGCGUAAAGGGCUCGUAGGCGGUUCGUCACGUCGGGAGUGAAAACUCGGAGCUUAACUCCGAGCCUGCUUCCGAUACGGGCAGACUAGAGGUAGGCAGGGGAGAGCGGAACUCCUGGUGUAGCGGUGGAAUGCGCAGAUAUCAGGAAGAACACCGGUGGCGAAGGCGGCUCUCUGGGCCUUACCUGACGCUCAGGUGCGAAAGCUAGGGGAGCGAACAGG